GGCUUCUGGAAGAUGUGUCCCUUUGAAAUGGGAGCAAUAAUGUCUCCAUUUUGAAAUCAGCUGCUGUCUGUGUCUUGCAAGAUUGAAAUCAGGAAGAGAAGAGACCAUCCGAAAGUAGCUCAGGGACAAAAGGAGAGUAUUUGUCAUAAUGGAGGUGUGAGCUGUGGCAGGACUCAGGAUCUCAUCAGAGCCCCGCGUCUUUCUCCCCAUGUCUUGGCUCUGUUUCCUUCUGCUGUGGUGUUAUUCUCAGGCUGACUCAACUAGGUGAAAAGGAUGAACUUUGCCAUGCCCAUUAUGACUGUACAGUUGGAAAUGCUGAAAGUUCUGACAAUGUCCCGGGAAGGCUUCCCACCUGUCUGGCAGGAGCAGGUGCCCACUCUUGGACUGCACCACAGAGCAUUGUUAGAGAGAUGCGGUUGAUCUCUCUCACUCCUCUUCCAUACGGACUAUGUGAAUGUCUAGAGUUGCUACAGUUAUGAAAACAGGAAAUGCAGGAGGGAGGACAGGUGCUAUAAAAUGGUGGCUGAAGAAAAACAGUGAAGUUCAGGCCCUUAUGGAAGUCCAUGUCUGGAAGGGGAAGCAUAUAAAACAGAGUAAAAAUUUGCAAUGGACUGGCAGGCUGAAGAAGGUAUUCUGAAGAUAUCCCUUUGAAGAUAUUUGCUAGGAUACUGGGGGAGAUCAUUUAAGACAUAAUCACAAACCUUCAAAAAAGUGACAGUGGAGGCUUAGCCCUCCAAGGUGGUGGUAGAGUUAAAGGUGGAGUGGGAGUGGAAUGAAUGGAAGGUGUCUUUUGGAGACAGCCUUGGCUAGACACAGUGAUGCACUGGAUGUGGGAGUAAGAGAAACAGACAGGAGGAAUCAGCUGAAGGAAUCUCCAGCAUUCUGGCCUGAAGAAUCAGUGGUCCCAUUUCCUGAGAUGGGGGAGUGCUGAUGGCGUUGCAGAGAGGCAUUGCUGAUUUGUAGAACAAAGUUCUUAAAGAACUAGUGCCUGUCUAUAAUGGCUUCUCUGAUGUGUUAUCACUGGAAAUUUCUAUAAACUGGCUUGAUUUUAGAUGUUCCCUUAAGUGACCAUUCACUCAGUAGGCAAUGUUCAGUGAUCCCCUCCUGUGUGCCUCCCAUGUGCUAGGUGUUGGAGGAAGUUAUGGAGAGGACAUAACCACUGUUGACUCAAACUGGACCCGGGCAACUGGAGACUCCUCAC
rnacentral:lncRNA from 1 species